rnacentral:tRNA from 3 species
GCGGGCGUGGCGAAAUUGGCAGACGCACCAGACUUAGGAUCUGGCGCCUUUGGCGUGGGGGUUCGAGUCCCUUCGCCCGCACCA